AGUGAACGCUGGCGGUAGGCCUAACACAUGCAAGUCGAACGGCAGCACAGUAAGAGCUUGCUCUUACGGGUGGCGAGUGGCGGACGGGUGAGGAAUACAUCGGAAUCUACUUUUUCGUGGGGGAUAACGUAGGGAAACUUACGCUAAUACCGCAUACGACCUACGGGUGAAAGCAGGGGAUCUUCGGACCUUGCGCGAUUGAAUGAGCCGAUGUCGGAUUAGCUAGUUGGCAGGGUAAAGGCCCACCACGGCGACGAUCCGUAGCUGGUCUGAGAGGAUGAUCAGCCACACUGGAACUGAGACACGGUCCAGACUCCUACGGGAGGCAGCAGUGGGGAAUAUUGGACAAUGGGCGCAAGCCUGAUCCAGCCAUACCGCGUGGGUGAAGAAGGCCUUCGGGUUGUAAAGCCCUUUUGUUGGGAAAGAAAAGCAGCAGGUUAAUACCCCGCUGUUCUGACGGUACCCAAAGAAUAAGCACCGGCUAACUUCGUG
rnacentral:rRNA from 1 species